CUACGGGGCGCAGCAGUAGGGAAUUUUCGACAAUGGGGGGAACCCUGAUCGAGCAAUGCCGCGUGAAUGAAGAAGGUCUUCGGAUUGUAAAGUUCUUUUAUUGGAGAAGAACGGUACCUAUAGGAAAUGAUAGGUAAGUGACGGUAUCCAUUGAAUAAGCCCCGGCUAACUACGUGCCAGCAGCCGCGGUAAUACGUAGGGGGCGAGCGUUAUCCGGAAUUAUUGGGCGUAAAGAGUGCGUAGGCGGUUUGUUAAGUCACUUGUAAAAGAUCUCAGCCCAACUGAGUAGGGCGAGUGAAACUGGCAGACUUGAAUACGGUAGAGGUAAGUGGAAUUCCAUGUGUAGCGGUGGAAUGCGUAGAUAUAUGGAGGAACACCAAUGGCGAAGGCAACUUACUGGGCCGGAAUUGACGCUGAGGCACGAAAGCGUGGGGAGCAAACAGGAUUAGAUACCCCCGUAGUC
rnacentral:rRNA from 1 species